GAGUACACAGUAUUCAGAAACAUUCUGACAUUGUGAAAGGAAGACAACUAAUAGGUCAUUUGUGAAAAGGUUAAGCAGUUAUCUUCUGAUUCCAAACAAGCAGUUUCUGUGGAAGAAGUAGUUGUGCCCCACAAGACCCUGAAGGACAGACUACAAUAUUUGCUGAAUGAAGAAUCCAAUGAUCGGGAAGAAAAGGAAAUUUAUAUUUUAAUCUAGGAGAAAAUAGCUCACGAUUCAUCUCUGUAGUCAAACCUGCACUCCACUCAAACGUCAGCAUUUAGUGAAGGUCUCAUUAAAUAUCAACAAAUGUCUCCCCAAGCUGUAUCUAAUGAAGAAUUGGAACAUAUUCAGAAACUUACCUAUCAAAAUGUGACACCAAAUAAGAGUCGCUGGGACAGGCGUUUCUUGUCAACUGAGUUCCUCUGCUGAUAAAUUGCAUUGAAAAGCAACUUUGGAUACAGUCUCUAACAAUGAUACUCAGGAAUGCAACCAGGGAAAGAACUGGUGGAGGACCAAAAGGUGGAAACUCAGAAAGACAGUGAAGAAGAAACUGCGCGCGCACAGACAGACAGACACCACACACACACACGCUGACACUGACUCUCACACUGCUCCUCAGAUACUAAAACAAUCUGUGCCCUUAUGCCUCAAGACCUGGACACCAUCAGGCUUGGUCUGGUGAACAAGAGUCAGGGUAUCCGAAUCUGAGCCCAAUGAUUCAAACAUCAACCAGUGACUUUAUGUCCAUUGGAACUCCAGGAUUAUCACAACUGGAAGAUAUCAGACAACAUCUGGGAUCCCUGGAAGCAGAUUACCAGGAACUCGUUAAAAUUCUUUCAAAGGAGAGCAGGACAAUACCAGCACAUCAAAAUUUCCUGCACAAGCAGAAAGGACAAAGGCCUGUGAAAAAUAGCAGAGUAUUAGCACAUCUUUCAUUACAGCGACAGAAGGAUUUUUGGUACUUAUUCAGGGAGAAGAAAACUGUUAAACUGAGAUAAGUAACAUUUCUAAAUAUUGGCAAACUGUGAUGAUUGACACGGAUAAUAAUGUCCCAUUUAAUAGUAUAAAUUUACAGCGAGACAUUUACAGGAAUUACUAACAAUACAGCAGUGAAAGUGGUUAUGAAAAAUGUUUAAUCCAAAACUUUUAAAUAUCUUAAAGUACAUACAAUGAUGUGGUGAAAUGUCAAUUUUUCAGCUUUAACAUAGUUGUCAUUUUAUAUUUCUUGAUGGAUUACUUAUGGAACAUUAUAUUGGACUAUUUCCUUUUCUACAUCAGAGACACAUAGACAGGGCAGUGAGGGGUGAGAGCUGCUAGAAUGGCCACUAGAGAAAGUAAAAGAAACUUCUAUUUAUAACAUUCCAUUUCACAAGCACAAAAAUAUAGUGACCCAUAGUUCUUUUCAGUGUUGGUGUGACUGGGAGAGUGGGCUGAUAAAUGCAAUCUAGAAGUGAACAAUGGCUGAACAAGGGCAGAGUUACUGCUUUUCAACCUAAGCACAUGGGCUCUAUUUUAGUGUUUGUAGCCCCUUCAAAGGGCAGUUGCAUUAAUCAUGCACCUUUACAGUACACAUUAAUGUCAUCUACGAUCAUAUUACCAUGCAUGUGAAGUGCAUGUAGUGUGCAAGUGAGUGAGUUAAAAAUAUUUUCUGUACGCUAACUAGCAGUAGCCACUGUAUUGAUAACAACAAGGUGGUUCUUAACAGAAAUUCAUCCUUUUGGCUAGAAAAGGACUGAUUAGGAAUGGCAGCCUGUUUAGACAGCAGGAGUGUUUUCUGUCAUCUUCACAAUCUAUAUUAACAAAGAUUCACAUAAUUCAGUUUUGAAGAGGGUUGGUAUAUAUAGUGAAACUAAUUUCCAGAGUAGCCAAUGAUUAAAUAUUCAAGAGAACCACAUCAGGGUUUUCAGCAUGGAAUCAUUGUUACUGGAGUGUAAGUUAUAGCUUUCGGUAGCAUGUUGCCAGUUCUUUCCGGCCUGUGGAUUAUAAUACUAUUCCAGGGACAAACCUUUGGUUUGAUGCUUCAAUGCAGUAUCAAGUGAUGCUGCACAGCCAGACCUGCUGUCCUUUGGAUGAGAUGUUAAAUGUCUCCACUGUCAGGUAGACAAAAAAUAUACUGGAACACUAUUUCAAAGAAGAAUAGGAGAGUUCUCCCUGGUGUACUCCAAUAUCACAACCAAAUCUAAAGUUGGAUUAUUACAGUCUGCUGUUGGGACUUUUCUGAGCAUAAAUUGGCUGCUGCAUUCUCCCAUAUUUAGAGCAGUGACUACACAUAUACUGCUCUAAAACACUUUACAACUUUGAGAUUGCAAAAGACACAAUAUAAAAAUGCACAUUUUUCCCUAUAAUCUGAUUGGCUAUACUCAGACACCAAUAAUAACUGCCAUAUCUACUCAGCAAAUCAGAGAAUUAGAAACUGUCUUCAAAAAAUCUGGGUACUUCAUUACCUUGCGCACUCCCUGCCUAUCCAGAUGCACAACUAGAAUGAUUAUGCAAGGAGAUUGAUGUCAUUAUCAUUCUGGCAAGAUUUGUAACCAACUCAACUACUGAGCACAGGCCAAUUAAAUCAAUCUGAUCUUCUUUGCUAUUAGCCUAAUCUUAAACUCGGGUGAAUCAGAUCUGCCACACUUGUCUUAAUAAUAGCACUUUGAUGUAAAAGCCUCAAUAGUGGACAAGGUCAUGCAUGGUCAUCUGUUCAGGACUGCAUGUUUCCAUAUACAUUUCCUAUACCUACCUGCAAAAUUGCUGGUCCACACUCCUUAUCUGGUAUCCAGUAACAGAUACCCUUAGUUUUUUUUCCACCAUCACCCUUUUCCUCAUCCCUACCUCCAUCACAUCGGAGUGACACAAUCCAUCUUCAUUAAACAGAAAAAGCAACACCCCUUCUAGAUUUACUUUUGUUAUCCUUACUAAACAAUCCAUGUAUGUUCACAAAUACUGUUGCAGUCUUAUAAAAUGUUUCCAGGAUCCCUAUACUAGAUCUUACUCACUGGCAAGGAUUUAACUCAUAACACUCAUAUACAUUCUUAUAUGUAAUUCUGGACAUUUAUUUCAAUACAUGUAACUCUAAUGUGUGAUUAUGUGUUGCCAGAAUUUGUUUAUGCCUUUACAUUCAAUGUAUUUAAUUGAUUUUUAAAAAAGUGUUGUCACUUCCUUAACUCAAUAACAACAUUUCAAGCUUUAAAAAAGGAACACAUACAUUUUAAUACAACAGCAUUUUAAUACAACUGUGGGCGGCACAGUGGCACAGUGGUUAGCACUGCUGCCUCACAGCGCCAGA